UUGCUAUAAAUGGUAAAUAUUUUGUUAUUACAGUAUAUUUAUGUAAGUUUCCCUUUAACCUUUUGAAGAAAAAGCAUCUUGGGCUUUGUUAAAUAGUGUCCCAAUGACCCAUUUCUUAACCAGCCCGUUAUCUAGCCCACUCCCUUUUUCUAGUACCCGGCCCAUGUUGUCUUUUAGCAAGAGACAAAGAAUUCGAAAACAGAGCUUUGCAGCAACGAAGCGGUGCUCCGACGAGUGCGUGCCAAUCAAUCUCGCCCUGUCCUUGCAUCGCUGUUCUUUCCCUUUCAUGCGAGCAGAUGUAAUUGCGCUGGCCGCUCCUCUCACUCACUCCGAUCGCGCGUGGGAAGGUGCAGCAACGGAUACCUGCAACUUUGCUGUUUACACCAGUGUUAGUACAGCCGCUGCAGCGCCCAGCGUCCUUGGCUCGCGUGGAUGGGUGCCAUAUCGAGCACAAGGACGAUAGGUUUAAUCCCCGUCGGCCACAUCGUUGUCCCUAUCCGAAUUUCAGGGAAUUUGGCGUCCUUUUGGUACAAGAAGCAGUUUACUUUGGCUAGGGAAAAAGAUUCAAAUUGGGGGAAUCAUUUGUUUAAUUCCUUCCCUACCCUUCCCCCCCCCCCCCCUUUUUUUUUUCAAACCCUAAUUGGUUCCUAUAUAAUAUCUUUUCAAUCACUUGAAGAGGGGGCAGAAAAAAAUUUAAAGAGUGUUUUAGUUGGGAAAAUUCUGGAUUUGGGAUUUUUGGUUUAGCAGAACUAAAAUUUUGUCUUUGAGAACUUCUUUCGGUUGAGACGUUUGAGCAAGAAGCUAGGAAAAAUUUCCCUGAUUUCCAUUGAUAUAGUUGGGAAGGGGUUACAGUGAAAAUAUACAUAAAGAUAACAAAAAAAAGAUACAAAAGAAAAAAAAAAGUUACAGGGAGUAGGAUUGAUUUCAGAGUUGGUUUUUCCCUUUAAUCUGUUCGUUGUUUCUUCUGAGCUUUGGAGGUUCAGAUUUGGCGGUGGAAGUCAGCCUCUCACUCGUCUUAUCCCCAGUUUGCUGCUCCGGAAAGUAAUCAUAAUAAUUUAUAAUUCCUUAGCAAGUCAAGCCCCCAUAAGCAUCGGCGCACAAAUUCCGAAGUUUAAAGAAUUGGAGAGUCGAAGAAGUUGGAUUAAGAAGCCUGUAUCAUUUUAUCCUUUACUUUGUGUUUUGUAACUUUGGGACUAAGCCCUUGUUGUAUUUCUUUUCUGCAUUUAUUUUGUUUAAACCAGGACAGUUACGAAAGAAGAUGGGUCAAAAACCCAAAGUCAAAUGGGUCAAAACCCAAAAGAAAAUGGGUCCAAAUACCGGUCCAGGCGGACAGAUAAACCGGACUUGGACCCAAUCCUCUCUU